GCUUACGGCCAUACCACCCUGAACACGCCCGAUCUCGUCUGAUCUCGGAAGCUAAGCAGGGCCGGGCCUGGUCAGUACUUGGAUGGGAGACCGCCUGGGAAAACCAGGUGCCGUAAGCU
rnacentral:rRNA from 1 species